UGCGGUGGUUCCCUUUACUAAGCGAGAGCACGGUUGGCAGGAUUCUUUUGUCCCCUAAGAAGAACCAAGAGGAAGCUGAGCCAAGAGCCUCAAAGGGGGACCCCUGAAGGAAAGGGAGAAAGUAGUUCCCAAAGACCAACAAGGCAAAUCCUUAGGGCUUCCAUAAGGAUUAGGAAAUCAUCUCUUCACCCAUGUGACCGCUUACAGUCUUGAAACUCCAAGGAAGGUUUUGGUGGAGAUGGGAGGGAGUAAAGGAUCUCCAGUGGACAGCACAUCUGACUUGACUAAAGGCAUCAACCCAGACCGUAUAGCCCAUCCUCGAUCUCAGGAAGGGGGUGGGUGAGGGGAACAACAUACGUGCAAGGGCACAGAUGUCAUUCCCACACAAGUGGGGGCACAACUUGCAUAAUUAGAGCCCAGUCCUAGGGAACUCAGAGUCCUGGCUCCACUGAUUCAUUCCUCCCGACCUGGGAAGGGGUCUGUCUUACUCCAGCCUCAAGGGUGAGGUCCCAUACAGUGGAAACUGUUGAAGCUGUGUCAGAGCUUCCUGCUUUUCCUCCUCCUCCGAACUU